UCUCCUUUCCCAGACCAUAUAUUUCAAUUUCGCUUUCUGAUAGAACCGGUUCCCUACAUGCAACCGCAAUAGACAUUGAAGCUGAAAAAUUGGUUGGAUAUUCAACAGCCGAACUCUAUCAUGCAAACCAACAAAAUGUUAAUAUUGUCGCCCUCGUUGCACAAAAAUUGCACGGAAGAACGCUUAUUUGCUGCAUUCAACCUUCUCCUUCCACAUUCAGGCUGCCUCAACCCACUGCGUUCAACAUUUUAACUUCAUACUUCCCGGAUAAUCUUCAAGGCGCAAAUCUAUACUCAGCUUCCACAACCUAAACAUUCAACAUAAAAAUUAAACUGUCAGAAUGUCUCAUUUUCACUUAUAUGCCUGUAAAAUAUACUUCAGUUUUAUAAUGCAUGCUUCUGUCCGCAUUCAGCAAA